UACGGGGGGGGCAAGCGUUGUUCGGAAUUACUGGGCGUAAAGGGCUCGUAGGUGGCCAACUAAGUCGGACGUGAAAUCCCUCAGCUUAACUGGGGAACUGCGUCCGAUACUGGAUGGCUCGAGUUUGGGAGAGGGAUGCGGAAUUCCAGGUGUAGCGGUGAAAUGCGUAGAUAUCGUAAGGAAGACCAGUGGCGAAGGCGAGUCUCUGGACAGUUACCGACGCUGAGGCACGAAGGUCAGGGGAGCAAACGGG
rnacentral:rRNA from 1 species